rnacentral:rRNA from 1 species
ACCUAUUAAUAGGUAUGCUUAGGGAGGAGCUUGCGUCACAUUAGUUAGUUGGUGGGGUAAAGGCCUACCAAGACUAUGAUGUGUAGCCGGGCUGAGAGGUUGAACGGCCACAUUGGGACUGAGACACGGCCCAAACUCCUACGGGAGGCAGCAGUAGGGAAUUUUCGGCAAUGGAGGAAACUCUGACCGAGCAACGCCGCGUGAACGAUGAAGUAUUUCGGUACGUAAAGUUCUUUUAUUAGGGAAGAAUAAAUGAUGGAAAAAUCAUUCUGACGGUACCUAAUGAAUAAGCCCCGGCUAACUAUGUGCCAGCAGCCGCGGUAAUACAUAGGGGGCAAGCGUUAUCCGGAAUUAUUGGGCGUAAAGGGUGCGUAGGCUGUUAAAUAAGUUUAUGGUCUAAGUGCAAUGCUCAACAUUGUGAUGCUAUAAAAACUGUUUAGCUAGAGUAAGAUAGAGGCAAGUGGAAUUCCAUGUGUAGUGGUAAAAUGCGUAAAUAUAUGGAGGAACACCAGUAGCGAAGGCGGCUUGCUGGGUCUUUACUGACGCUGAGGCACGAAAGCGUGGGGAGCAAACAGGAUUAGAUACCCUGGUAGUCCACGCCGUAAACGAUGAGUACUAAACGUUGGGUAAAACCAGUGUUGAAGUUAACACAUUAAGUACUCCGCCUGAGUAGUACGUACGCAAGUAUGAAACUUAAAGGAAUUGACGGGACUCCGCACAAGCGGUGGAUCAUGUUGUUUAAUUCGAAGGUACCCGAAAAACCUCACCAGGUCUUGACAUGCUUCUGCAAAGCUGUAGAAACACAGUGGAGGUUAUCAGUUGCACAGGUGGUGCAUGGUUGUCGUCAGCUCGUGUCGUGAGAUGUUGGGUUAAGUCCCGCAACGAGCGCAACCCUUAUUGUUAGUUGCCAGCACGUAAUGGUGGGGACUUUAGCAAGACUGCCAGUGAUAAAUUGGAGGAAGGUGGGGACGACGUCAAAUCAUCAUGCCCCUUAUGACCUGGGCUACAAACGUGAUACAAUGGCUGUUACAAAGGGUAGCUGAAACGCAAGUUUUUGGCGAAUCUCAAAAAAACAGUCUCAGUUCGGAUUGAAGUCUGCAACUCGACUUCAUGAAGUUGGAAUCGCUAGUAAUCGCGAAUCAG